UACGUAGGGGGCAAGCGUUGUCCGGAUUUAUUGGGCGUAAAGCGCUCGUAGGCGGCUUGUCACGUCGGGUGUGAAAGACCGGGGCUUAACUCCGGUUCUGCAUUCGAUACGGGCUAGCUAGAGUGUGGUAGGGGAGAUCGGAAUUCCUGGUGUAGCGGUGAAAUGCGCAGAUAUCAGGAGGAACACCGGUGGCGAAGGCGGAUCUCUGGGCCAUUACUGACGCUGAGGAGCGAAAGCAUGGGGAGCGAACAGG
rnacentral:rRNA from 1 species